rnacentral:rRNA from 1 species
CAAUAGCGUAUAUUAAAGUUGCUGCGGUUAAAAAGCUCGUAGUUGGAUUUCUGCUGAAGGCAGCCGGUCCAUGUUCGACAUGCGCAUCUGGAUUGACUUCGGCAUCCUCUCAGAUAACGAUUCUGUGCUUGAUUGCAUGGAGCGGAGUUUGAGACUUUUACUUUGAGGAAAAUAGAGUGUUCACGGCAGGCAAUCGCCCUGAAUAUAUUAGCAUGGAAUAAUAAAAUAGGAUCUUGGUUCUAUUUUGUUGGUUUCUAGAACGAAGAUAAUGAUUAAUAGGGACAAUUGGGGGCAUUCGUAUUAACGCGUCAGAGGUGGAAUUCUUGGAUUGCGUUACGACGAACUACUGCGAAAGCAUUUGCCAAGGAUGUUUUCAUUGA